UACGUAGGGGGCCAGCGUUGUCCGGAAUCAUUGGGCGUAAAGCGCGCGUAGGCGGUCAGGUAAGUCCGGUGUGAAAGUCAUAGGCUCAACCUAUGGAUGCCGCUGGAAACUGCCUGACUUGAGUCCGGGAGGGGCGAGUGGAAUUCCUGGUGUAGCGGUGAAAUGCGCAGAUAUCAGGAAGAACACCCGUGGCGAAGGCGGCUCUCUGGGACGGUACUGACGCUGAGACGCGAAAGCGUGGGGAGCGAACAGG
rnacentral:rRNA from 1 species